AAAACAAAUAAAGUUGAAGUCUUGACACACAUCUACAAAAAGGAUCGUAGAGGAGAGAGUAGAGUAAGUAGUCUAUCUAUCUAUCUAUCUAUCUAUCUAUCUAUCUAUCUAUCUAUCUAUAUAUAUAUAUAUAUAACGAUAUAUAGAUAGAUAGAUAGUUAUAUGCUUUUUCUUUUUUGUUUUCCUUCUUUACCCUCGGGCUUUUAAACCAAAGGGGGGAUCACUGUGAUAGCUCCAUAUCCCCUAAGCCACAUUUCUCUCUCUCUCUUCUUUGCAGGCCGAGCGAAAUGGAUGUCUCUCUCCACGACCACUGAAUUGUGCAGUCGUUUUGGUCCUUCUCUGUUUCGUGAAUUGUAAAUUUGCUCUGCUCUUACGCUGAGUUGCAUUCAAUCAUUCGUUAGCUCACCUUCCUGACUGAACGAUUCGCUUCGAUUGGACUUAGCUGUUUUUGAUUGUUUAUUCGUAAGAGCAUAGCAAAUACAUGACACAGAAACGAGUCUUUGAAUCCACACACACACGCCCUCCACCUGUGAUGCACAAAAAGCGCGGCGGAGGGUCGAGGACGUCGGGAUUGCUAAAGACUGCGUCUACCGCCGUCUGAGUUUCUAAAAAAACAGCCACUGUUGAGCAACGAUGGCAGCGCCUGCGCUCACGAGACAAAAAAAAAGGUCAACUCGCCCUCAGCUCUCUCUGCUUGUCAAAAUGGCUAUCUAAAAACUCACCAUCGCUACGCUGUCGUGAAAACGUUUGACUGAAAACCUCCGCUGUAUUCCUCUGUUGCACAGACUCUUUUCGCAGCGAAGAGCGAAGAAGGAGGAAAUUCGUCUGUGAAUCAACGGAGAGGAGAAAAAGCGCUCUCCUGAUCUGGCUAGCCUCUGCGGCUACAGCCGAAGACGAUCUCGACGAGGGAGAAAAAAGAGCGGACUGCGGCUGAGUGAGGAAGACGAGG